rnacentral:lncRNA from 1 species
CUCCAGCGAUGUGUGGGGACUUGUCUUCUAUUGCCGUCACAGGUUCGAUUCUCUAUGCGUACACUGUCAUCCCACGAUGUCUUACAUGCUUACUGGGCUUGCAGGGUGUUCAGUGACCCGUGGAGACUAGUUGCAGUGCGCGCAAGCUGGCCCGGACACCUCACGCUAAUCAAAAAAAAAAGAAAAAGUGAGACUUUAAAAUAUAUAAAAAAGGAUUACAAAACAAAAAUUUAUAUAGGUGAGCUCAGAAAAACUGAAUUCGCAUUCCCAUACUGAUGCGAAAACUUGCUACAAGCAGCCAUCGCUAGCUCUGACGCAAUGCAAAACACCCCUAUAUAUAAAUACCAUAGCAUUUUAUCUUGCAAUACUGCUUUGUUAGUUGGCAAACAGAAAAGUCUAACUGUCCGUUGUGUGGCCUCGUUUAAACCAAUACCAGAUCAGUUAUGGCCACUUACUGUGUCCAUCUUCGUCUUCUUUUCUUGCUUCUCACCCUUUCAGGUUAGUUCUUUCAUGUUUCGACUGCCUUUUGCAUGCAUUGUUCUGUUUGUUUGUUUUCCAGUAAAGUGCGAGGAAAGAAAAUAGAAGCUUAAGUUGUAGGGGUUGCCUUUUUUAUUGUUGUAUACUGUAUAUUCAAGCUUGGAAACCAAGGUCUGCUAAAUUACCACCAAUACUGGGUUUCCUUUUAUGAGUUUGGAACUGGGAUUUUAAUCUAACUGAAGCUUGAUGAUUCUGGUUCUUGUUCCUUUAUUCUUUGGUGUUCCUAUCAUGGUUUAGUUUGUUCAACUUGAAACUCUGUUUUUCGGAUUCAGGUGUCCAAGUCCUAGGUGCUGGCUUUGGAAUUAACUAUGGGCAGAUUGCCGACAACCUCCCAUCUCCCUCUAGUGUUUCCGUGAUGCUUCAACCCCUCGACGUCAGCAGGUUAAAACUCUAUGAUGCCAAUCCGAAAGUCCUGCAGGCCUUCUCUAAUUCAAGUGUUGAAUUCAUUGUUGGGAUUGGGAACGGGUACCUCCAAGACAUGGCUGAUCCUGUCAAGGCUCAAAACUGGGUUCAACAGAAUAUUCAACCCUACCUAGCUCAAACCAAAAUCACUUGCAUCUCUGUCGGGAACGAGGUGUUCAUGACCAAUGAUACUCAGAUGUGGUCAAAUCUCCUUCCGGCAAUGAAGACGGUGUAUAACACUCUUGUUAAUCUUGGAUUAGAUAAACAAGUGAUUGUCACCACUGCACAUCCCUUUACCAUCAUAGGAAAUUCCUACCCUCCUUCAUCGGGGACUUUCCGGCAAGAUAUUAUCGAAUACAUGCAAGCAAUCUUGGAUUUUCAUUCUCAAACCAAGUCACCAUUCCUUAUCAACGCCUAUCCCUUUUUCGCAUACAAGGAUAACCCAGACCAAAUAUCUCUAGAUUAUGUCCUCUUCCAGCCGAACCAGGGGAUGACAGAUCCGAACACAAAUCUGCAUUAUGAUAACAUGCUGUACGCUCAAGUAGAUGCAGUGUAUUCAGCAAUCAAAGCAAUCGGACAUACAGAUGUUGAAGUCAAGAUCUCAGAGACAGGUUGGCCAUCCAAGGGGGAUCCUACCGAGGUUGGAUCAACACUACAAAACGCAGAGCUAUAUCAUAAUAAUCUGUUGAAUAGAAUUCAGCUGAAGCAAGGCACACCAGCAAAACCAUCCGUGCCCAUUGACAUAUAUGUUUUUGCACUUUUUAACGAGAAUUUGAAGUCUGGUCCGACAUCUGAAAGGAACUACGGGCUCUUUUAUCCCAACGGUACUGCAGUUUUUAACAUCAAAUUGCAGGGCAAUCUUCCUGGAAUAAUUUAUUCCUCGGCAUCUAAUAUAAAUGUAACUCAUAUUUUCUCUCAUCAUCACCAUGUUUUGGUUUUAAAUAUAAUUAACAACGAAUCUAAUCUCCUAUAUUGCAUUUCGAAUGAUCCUGCAGGCAUUGUCUACCUUCAGCUUGGUGAUAUCUGUCUUAGCAUACUUGAUCCAUGCUUAGGUUACCCGAAUUCCGGUGAAUGACGGAGAGAUAAACAACCAAAGUCUGACACCACAAAUCGCAUAGCCGCAGGAAGAUUUUUUAUAGGUGAGAUACUGAGUUCAUUUUAAUUGAAACAGUGACCAUCUCAAGUUCCGAAUUCUUCAAUCCAGAAAUUGAAUUCACCUAAACUUGGCCUGCUCAUUACCUAACCCGGUUAGGUUCAGAUCAAAUUGGUUGACUUUUGAUACUGUUUGAUGUUCAUGUAUAUAUAUAUAUAUAUGGUUUUGCUUAGAAUAGUCUGCAAAUCACAUGGUUGGGAUUUCUGAAUCCAUCUUAGCAACUUUUUUUCCCCUUAGGAUCUGUAAGGCAGAACCCAUCUGAUGUUGCCUACUUAGUGCAUGCACCAAGUGGGGAUGCUUUGACAUGUAGUGCCUGCUGUUUUGAAAUCUACUUUUGAUGUUGAAUACAUAUAUAUAUAUAUAUAUUGAGCCAUCAUCCUCCUCUCUAAUAAUGCAUGCGAAUCUUUCCUUGUCUUGCUUUCUUCAACUAGACAAAAGUCCAAACUUGCUUCUAUCAGGAAAAGAACCUGCUAGGGCCGGGCGGCUUUCGGCAGCAGUUUUUCAAUAUCUUCUUCUUUGUUUAUUUUUUUCUGAAUUCUCCAAAAUGGAUACCUCACCAUUUUUGUCUUGACUUUGAGCUCUCUAUCAAAGACGGCUACCUCUUUGUCUACACCUUUAUUAUCUCUUUCGUAAAGGAGAAUUUAUCGCAUCAGCCAUAGUUGUAUCGUUCUCCCAUGUCUAUUUCAAGUGAACAUCAGUAGGCUUAACAUUGCUGUCUUGUUAGCUUUUUGAUAUUUCAUGAAUACCGAAGGACGGUCCGGUCCAAAGUUUUUCUAGCAUCGUAGCUGUAGUAGUUUCCAACACGUCUAGGCAUUCAAGAAUUCAAGUCCAAGUUACUUCCCCCGCUCAAUACUUUUAUUUUGGAAAAGCUAAGAACAAACGACUCUUUUUCGAGUGCAAGAUUAACAUUUAACCCUUUUGUUGAGUGAAAAUUAUGAUUCAUAUUCAACAUGUGUAACAUCAAUCGAUACUUGAGCAUAAAGUAGUAGGCAGGUGGCUAUCAACAUCACGGACAACCUGCUUUCACACAGAUACUUCUCGUUGCAUCAGAAAUGGCCCCAACAAGGAUAAGAUUUACACACAGGCGAUUCCACUUGGCCAUUCGAUAGUGACUAGCUAGCUACUGCCAUGAUAUUUGAUUCUCAGUCGCUGCAUAAUCAAAUUAAUAUUUAAUGAGCUGCCUUUACAAAACCUAAAAGAGUUGCUUCAUCAAUCUCUCUAUGGUCCCAGUUGCUUUGUAAGAUAUUCUUGUUUGGCUCUUAGAGACCAUGUAAUGUUGAAAUGUUAAGGAAAAACAUAGACCAAGUUGUGCUAGCAGUUGGCUUGCACAAGCUGUGACAUCCACAUCAUGUCACCUCGCCGGCCUUUUUGUGUGCUGGGGAGCUGCUACCGAUUAAUUAUGAUGUUCACAGCAUUUAACUAUAAGCUGCUACCAAUUCAUUAUGAUGUUCACAGCUUUUAACUAUAAUCAAACUUCUGGUGUUUUGUGAUCUAUUGCUCAACCACAUGACUAAUAUACACUGCCACAGUAUCUUUAUGCAGGGAGAGAGAAUGGCAGCAAGGGUCUUGUUCCUAUCACAAACACAUGACUAAAGCUGUCUCAGUAGUCUAGCAAAGCAUCUAUACAUGCUUCAUUGUGUACUAUUAUUGAAAAAAUGACAUUAAUCACUAACACGUCAGGAUGCUGUAUAUCCUGGAUUGGUAGUUCUUCUAUAGGUUUAGAUUAUAGAUAUAUCGGGGGCAAUAAGGUGAAUAUGUGCUAGGCAGAGUUCUUCCUUCUCAAAAAUAGAAAAGAAAAAAGGAAGCUAGGUUGAAUUGUUAAAUUCCAAUUCUUGUUCAAAUUUCUGAUAAGGAAGAACACGGUGAAGAUUUACAAGGCGUCAACCAGUCUUGUUUCUGUAUUUUGGGUGCCACAAAUUAAUUAUGAAUAAUAUUCUUGUAUCUAUCCUAGUUGAUGAGCCAACCCAUUAAUUAAUCUGUAUGAUAUAUCAAAUUGUUUUUACUAAAUCGAUCAUGUUUUGAAUUAAAAGAGAUAAUUUUAUUUUAAAAAAUCAAUAAUAUUGUUCUAGAUAAAAAAAAAAUUGAAUCUACCUUUCAAAUUCUUAACACAAGACUCGGUUAUAUAUAUUCUCUGAUGGAAUUUCAGCUUAUAUAAGGAGGGGGGCUAAGAAAACUUUUUAAGAAACACAGUGAAAGAAAUGCGACAAGUUUGAACUAGCUAAAAUCAGCAAGGUUAAAUGAUCUUUUUUGAAAGUUAAGAGUGGAAAUUACCCCUUCUUCUCCAUGCAAGUCUGCCCUUGCAUGUUUGUGUAUACAUAUAUUUCAAACAAAAAAUAUAUAUAAUUUAAUUCAUGGAAACCUAGAAUUUUCAAGAGCCAAUCAAUUUUUUUUAUAAAUUAAUUUAGUAAAUUGAAUUUUUUUUAAUGGUAGUAGCUUCCUUGGGUAGCUAUGGACCAGAAGGUGAUUUUUAGAGUAGCUAUAUCCCAUAUCUUUCGAUGCGGGAUUUUGUUGGGUAUAAAGAAACACGAGUCACGAGACUUCUAGACAAAUCAUGCCCUGCCUUUAAGACUUAAAAACAAAAAAUAUUAUUUUUUAAUGAUAUUUAUGUUAUAUAAAAAAAGAAAAUUAUGAAGGAUCAAAUUAUGUUCUUACUUUUACUUUCAAAUGUUCAUAUGGCAAAGCAACAAUCUCAAUGUGCUUUCAAUUCAUUCUUCUCUAAAUAAGCAAGCACUCUUGGUUAACAUUGAUUGAUAUAUACAUAUUUGGAUUUGAUUUGGAUUUAUACUAUGUAUUAUUUAGAGUCAUGAAACCAUAUAUAUUUUAACUCUCGUCUCUUAAUCCUAACACAAAUAUGUGCUCUGUACUUCUUUUUUUGGAUUAGCACUACGUACCUGGACUAAUCAUGGAAACGCACAAGUUCUUAGCAAAGAAUUUCUUGCAGGGACAUUACGGUUAAUUCAUGAACUUUAUCUAAAUCCGAUGAAUCCAUGGAAUUAUUUGUACCUAGCAAGAGUAGAACCUGAAAUCUUAAACAUGAACACAGUACCAAUUCCGAGCUCUUCUCCACGAGGCCAAUUUACACACACACACGUGCAUCCCUGUCCCUUGGCUACUAGGUAUCAGGCCAACGCCCAACUAAAAUAUAUUGUAUCCAAGACAGCUUUGCGAUGACCUCAUAAAAUAAUUACCAUGCUAUAAUUUAUUUGCAUGUAAUAAAAUAUAUAUAAAAAAGGUAAAUAUACUUACAUUGAGUUAUCAGUCAUCAUGGUCUUCUAAUCCUUCGCCCACAAUUGGUCAACCCGUCUAAUGAUCCUGUUCCUUAUAGCUAGAGUUUCCGGUAGCUCUAUCCUCUUGAAUUAACCAUUUAGAACUAGAUUCUUUUUUUUUG